AGAGCACAGCAGCUUAAAGAUCUGCUCACGGAAUGGGAGACCCAAGGAAACCAAGUUCAGGAGUUGAACAAGAACAGUUCUCAACUGGAGAACUUGAUUAUUAACACCACAGCACCUAAGAACAAGACUGGUGUUUCCCAGCUCAAUGGUGCCUCCAGCCCCAACAGUGUUAAUGGCAUUCACACCUGUAAAG